rnacentral:rRNA from 1 species
UACGAAGGGUGCAAGCGUUAAUCGGAAUUACUGGGCGUAAAGCGUGCGCAGGCGGUUGUGCAAGACCGAUGUGAAAUCCCCGGGCUUAACCUGGGAAUGGCAUUGGUGACUGCACGGCUAGAGUGUGUCAGAGGGGGGGUAGAAUUCCACGUGUAGCAGUGAAAUGCGUAGAGAUGUGGAGGAAUACCGAUGGCGAAGGCAGCCCCCUGGGAUAACACUGACGCUCAUGCACGAAAGCGUGGGGAGCAAACAGG